CCAGGAGCCAUCAAGUCGCUUACUCUAUUGGCUCCUCCAUAUUAUUCGGUACCAAAGGGAGUGCAAGGGACGCAAUAUGUGAUGAGAAAAGUGGCGCCCAAGGAAGUGUGGCCUCCGAUGGCCUUUGGAGCCUCAGUGGCCAGCUGGUACGAGCACAUUAGCCGCACCGUCAGUCUAGUCCUUUGCAAGAACCACCACUUGUUAGAAUUUCUCACCAAGCUACUCACCGGAAACAGGAUGCGAACGUACUUGAUAGAAGGGUUUU